rnacentral:rRNA from 1 species
GACGUAGGGCGCGAGCGUUGUCCGGAAUUAUUGGGCGUAAAGAGCUCGUAGGCGGCUUGUCGCGUCGACUGUGAAAACCCGUGGCUCAACCAUGCGGUCUGCAGUCGAUACGGGCAGGCUAGAAUUCGGUAGGGGAGACUGGAAUUCCUGGUGUAGCGGUGAAAUGCGCAGAUAUCAGGAGGAACACCGGUGGCGAAGGCGGGUCUCUGGGCCGAUAUUGACGCUGAGGAGCGAAAGCGUGGGGAGCGAACAGGAUUAGAUACCCUGGUAGUCCACGCUGUAAACGUUGGGCGCUAGGUGUGGGGAGCCUCUCCGGUUCUCUGUGCCGCAGCUAACGCAUUAAGCGCCCCGCCUGGGGAGUACGGCCGCAAGGCUAAA